rnacentral:rRNA from 1 species
AGUGAACGCUGGCGGUAGGCCUAACACAUGCAAGUCGAACGGCAGCACAGUAAGAGCUUGCUCUUACGGGUGGCGAGUGGCGGACGGGUGAGGAAUACAUCGGAAUCUACUUUUUCGUGGGGGAUAACGUAGGAAAACUUACGCUAAUACCGCAUACGACCUACGGGUGAAAGCAGGUGAUCUUCGGACCUUGCGCGAUUGAAUGAGCCGGUGUCGGAUUAGCUAGUUGGCGGGGUAAAGGCCCACCAAGGCGACGAUCCGUAGCUGGUCUGAGAGCGUGAACGGCGACACUAGGACUAAGAGACGGACCAGACGCCAACGGGAGGCAGCAGUGGGGAAUAUUGCCCAAUGGGAGCAAGUCGGAGGAAGAGGCGCCGCGUGAGUGAAGACGGUCUUUGGGGUGUAAAAAGCAUCCGGCUAGGACGCAGCGAUAGUGACGGUACCUGAAGAAGAAGCACCGGCUAACUACGUG